GCCUGGCUGGCUCAGUUGGUAGAGCAUACAACUCUUGAUCCUGAGGUCAUGGGUUCAAGUCCCAUGUUGGGUG